AGAACGAACGCUGGCGGCAUGCCUAACACAUGCAAGUCGAACGCUCACCGGGCUUCGGUUCGGUGGGAGUGGCGCACGGGUGAGUAGCGCGUGGGAACCUGCCCUGUUGUGGGGGAUAACCGAGGGAAACUUCGGCUAAUACCGCAUGCGCCCGGGGAAACCCGGGGAAAGAUUUAUCGCAGCAGGAGGGGCCCGCGUCGGAUUAGGUAGUUGGUAGGGUAACGGCCUACCAAGCCUUUGAUCCGUAGCUGGUCUGAGAGGAUGAUCAGCCACACUGGGACUGAGACACGGCCCAGACUCCUACGGGAGGCAGCAGUGGGGAAUAUUGGACAAUGGGCGCAAGCCUGAUCCAGCAAUGCCGCGUGAGUGAUGAAGGCCUUAGGGUUGUAAAGCUCUUUCGCCCGCGACGAUGAUGACGGUAGCGGGAGAAGAGCCCCGGCUAACUUCGUGCCAGCAGCCGC
rnacentral:rRNA from 1 species